UCCACUUUUUCUUUUCAACUCAAAUCAAAUAGUAACAAUUUGGGUUUCCCCACUCUCUCUCUGUUGUUUGGUUCCUCACUCACUCACUCACUCCAUCCACAACCCCAACCUAACCUAACUCAUCAACCCAUGUCUUCUUCCACAACCUCUUCCAGACACCACACCUACAAUCGAAAGCAAAAAUCUCUCGGUCUCUUAUGCACCAAUUUCUUGAGCUUGUACAACAAAGAAGGUAUCCACCUAAUUGGCCUCGACGAUGCCUGCUCACGAUUAGGGGUCGAGAGGCGUCGGAUCUAUGAUAUCGUCAACGUCUUGGAGAGUGUUGGGAUGCUUGCGAGAAAAGCUAAGAAUCAAUAUACCUGGAAAGGCUUCGCUGUGAUUCCAGAGGCGUUGCGCGAACUUAAGGAUGAGGGUUUGAAGGAGAAUCUAUUUGAUGCUGCUAAUGACAGUGCCAAAGUGUCUGAUGAUGAGUAUGAUGAAGAAGCUAAUCCAGCUACUGGAAGUCAAAAUGACAAGUCCAACUCUGAUUCUGCCACUCUUGUCAAGUCUUCACAAAAUGAAAACAGAAAGGAAAAGUCUCUAACACUGCUUACUCAGAAUUUUGUCAAGCUCUUUGUCUGCUCUAAUAUUCAAAUGGUCUCCCUUGACGAUGCUGCAAAGUUGUUGCUUGGAAAUGUUGAUACUGCUAUGAUGAGAACAAAAGUCAGACGCCUGUAUGAUAUUGCAAAUGUGCUAUCCUCUAUCAACCUAAUUGAAAAGACCCAUAUGGCAGAAUCAAGAAAACCAGCAUUCAGGUGGCUGGGUUUGAAAGGGAAAACAAUGAGUGAGUCAGGGAACUCAGCCCAAGAUCCAAAUACCAACGAGUCGAGGAAAAGGCUGUUUGGAAGUGACAUCACGAACAUAAGCUUUAAGAGGAACAAAGUUGAUCUGUUCAUGAAUGAGGGGGACUUUUACAAGAACUCUAACAUGGAAAACAAACAUGACAAUCUCAAUUGCCAAGGCCAAUCAGAGAAAAGCAACUCAAAACAAGAUGCAAAACAGACUACAGGGUGCUAUCAGUUUGGCCCUUUCGCUCCGCGUAAAGUUGGGGCCUCUGAGAAUGAUAAUGUGAAGCAGGUACAUGAUUGGGAGAGUCUUGCAAAGGCUCAUCGUCCUCAGUAUGAAAACCUAGGGUUUUGAAGUUAAAUUUUCUUUUCCAAAGCAGUUUAUCUGCUCCCACCAAGAAAAUAAGCUUUGAGAGACCUCUUCUCGCACUACACGGAAGCGUGGAAAUCUUGGUACUCUGAGGUAGCUGGGAAGAGACCAUAGAACAUUUUGUAAUUCAUCUGUCCAUAGUCAAAUAACAGAGUAGCUUUCUCAAUAGAUGAACCAUUGUUGGAUGCAUGUUCUCCCUUGUCUAGGGGCUCAUGGCUCCCCAAUCUUUUUGGAAAAAUCUUUUAUAGAUUUCAAUUAUACAUGUUUUGCUAUUUUAUAAGUCAAAUAUAUAUUCUAAUAUAA